rnacentral:rRNA from 1 species
CGAGAGGCCCAAACGUUAUUCGGAAUUACUGGGCUUAAAGAGUUCGUAGGCGGCAUUGCAAGUAGGGUGUGAAAGCCCUCGGCUCAACCGAGGAAUUGCGCUCUAAACUGCAGUGCUUGAGGAACCUAGAGGUGAGCAGAACAGAUGGUGGAGCGGUGAAAUGCGUUGAUAUCAUCUGGAAUACCGGAGGCGAAGGCGGCUCACUGGGAGUUUUCUGACGCUGAGGAACGAAAGCCAGGGUAGCGAACGGGAUUAGAUACCCCGGUAGUCCUGGCCGUAAACGAUGAGCACUAGGCCGGAGCCCUGCACAGGGUUUCGGCCGUAGCUAAAGUGUUAAGUGCUCCGCCUGGGGAGUAUGGUCGCAAGGCUG